AAGAUCGUACUUCUAGGGAUCAUUCCUACAGUACGUAUCACCAGGACGUCGGUCAACCUGACCCUGGUAACCCAACCGCGAUGACGAUCUGCGUGGCCUAGUCCCGAGCGUGAUCCGGGUGCAUGGCUGUCCGUCAGUGAGGCCCGUCUGGGCUCUUCUCGUACGGACUCGGCCGUCUCCCCGGUUGAUCGUCCACCCGCGUGCGGCCUGAUGUGUGUCCACAUGUCUCGUCCGCCCCGGAGUGGAGGAACUGGCCUGUGCCGAGCGGU
rnacentral:snoRNA from 1 species